GCGCGGAGUUAGCCGGGGCUUCUUCCCUCGAUACUGUCACCCUGCCGACGUGUUAGGUCGGCAGGAAUUCAUCUCGGACGAAAGGAGUUUACGACCCGAAAGUCUUCAUCCUCCACGCAGCGUUGCGUCAUCAGGCUUGCGCCCAUUGCAAACAAUUCCCCACUGCUGCCUCCCGUACGAGUCUGGACCGUGUCUCAGUUCCAGUGUGGCCGUCCGCCCUCUCAGGGCGGAUAUCGAUCGGAGCCUUGGUGAGCCGUUACCUCACCAACUAGCUAAUCGGACGCGGGCCCCUCUCCAAGCGCCAGGUCUUACGAUCCCCGGCUUUGAUGUCCGUGUAUCCAAACACGGGAUGACAUGGGGUAUUAGCCCUCCUUUCGGAAGGUUAUCCCCCACUCAGAGGUAAGUCGCCCACGCGUUACUCACCCGGUUGCCACUCUACUCAUGGAUUGCUCCACUUUCACGUUCGACUUGCAUGAGUUAGGCACGCCGCCAGCGUUGAUU
rnacentral:rRNA from 1 species